rnacentral:rRNA from 1 species
UAGGGAAUCUACGGCAAUGGACUAAAGUCUGACCGAGCAACGCCGCGUGAGUGAAGAAGUUUUUCGGACCGUAAAACUCUGUUGUUAGAGAAGAACAAGGACGUUAGUAACUGAACGUCCCCUGACGGUAUCUAACCAGAAAGCCACGGCUAACUACGUGCCAGCAGCCGCGGUAAUACGUAGGUGGCAAGCGUUUUCCGGAUUUAUUGGGCGUAAAGCGAGCGCAGGCGGUUUCUUAAGUCUGAUGUGAAAGCCCCCGGCUCGACCGGGGAGGGUCAUUGGAAACUGGGAGACUUGAGUGCAGAAGAGGAGAGUGGAAUUCCAUGUGUAGCGGUGAAAUGCGUGGAUAUAUGGAGGAACACCAGUGGCGAAGGCGGCUCUCUGGUCUGUAAAUGACGCUGAGGCUCGAAAGCGUGGGGAGCAAACAGG